GAUGUCUGACCAGGACACCACCUCCCAAGAUCUUUUCGAUACCAUGCGAUGCAGCAGGAAGAAGAAGAAAUAAACAGAAAAUAAUCAAAUACGUGGAUCAGCCAAAAAAGAACUCGCCUCCAUGGGACAUGCAAACUUCACUAUGAGAAAAGAAAUAUUACAAGAGAAGAUCUCACCUUCAACCCUCGUACACCCAAUUUCUCCCUCACAAGAAGUUCUCCCUUACAAAAGAUCUCUCUCUAGGAAGACCCCCCUGAACCCCUGAAA
rnacentral:lncRNA from 1 species